ACUCCCACGGGGGGCAGCAGUGGGGAAUAUUGCGCAAUGGGCGCAAGCCUGAUGCAGCCAUGCCGCGUGUGUGAAGAAGGCCUUCGGGUCGUAAAGCACUUUCAGUUGUGAGGAAGGUUGUGUGGUUAAUACCCAUGUAAUUUGACGUUAGCAACAGAAGAAGCACCGGCUAACUCCGUGCCAGCAGCCGCGGUAA
rnacentral:rRNA from 1 species